CCAGCAGCCUCCGAACUGCUCCUCCCUCGGGCUCUGCGCGAGGAAACGGAGACUGUGUGUCAAUGGGCUGUCGUCACUCGUACCUCCUUACAAAUAACACCAGGCAGCUUUAGGCUUUCAUCAAGCUGAAGGUAAUUGUAGCAGAAGAAACUUGACAAGGCUGCAAAGUAUGUUCUGAAGAACAAUUUUAUAAGCACUGUGAGCGGUCCAUUGGGACAGAGUAACAGAGGACAACAGGACUGCACAUUAGAAACCCAAGUACAGGAACAGAUGUGAGAGACCUAAAGUGACCAUCAGCUAUAAUAACAGGAAAAAAAAGAUACAUAAGCUGGAAUGUUAUAUGAAUAAUAGGAGAAGAGACAACACAACUAAGAUGCCUGGGUUUGACAUUCCAAUACUCCAACCAGGAUAAAGCUGUUGCCGUCAGCAAUGAAAUUGCUCAGCUGUUGUCAGCUUUGACACUUUUGGCAUAUGGCAUUUGAAAGCUCUUACUAGCUUGCAUGUAAUCCUUUCCCAAGUUACUACCAAGGAGGAGUAAAAAAGGUAUUGUCCAUCUGCCUCCAACUUAGAAGGAGCAUGAAAUGUUUAUGUAAAGUUUAUCACUGAGCCACCACAGGGAUCAUCAAUACAGAUACUAGAUUUAUUUUUUUAGUAUUCCCAUGACUAGUUCAGAAUAGCCAUAUCCGUUACAAACAGACAAGAAGCAGUGGAAAAGUUACUGCUUAGCACUGCGAUCAGACCUGAUCUACAGGAAGAUUUGGGAAAAUGUUCUUGAGUGGCAAUUUUCUUGAGUGACAUUAAGCAUCAAACCUUAAAUAGAAUUUAUGUGGGGCUGUUUAUGUGACAUCCGUGCUCAUGCUUCAUGCUUUGGUGAUAUGUGGCUGAUUCCAGGUCAUCAAAACUGUAUUGACUUUUAUUAUUAAACUCUUGAAAAGGUGAUGAAGACAUUGUCAUUGGGAGAUAUAUUGUUCGUGGGUUACCACCCCAGCAUGUAUACAUAAUUUAUAGCGAAAUUAGGAGCGCAGAAGCUGGAAGAAACCUCAUGAAUCAUUGAGUCAAACACCUUGCAGUCACAUUUAAUCCUUUGCUGCAAUUAUCAGCUAUUUAGACUUCUUAUUCUGUCUACAUUUACUGGGAGUUGUUCCAGAACGUCACUUUUCAAAUGUUACAAGCUCAUUUUUAAUUUCCAGUUUAAAUUUAGUCAUAGCCAAUUUGUAUCUUUCUGAUCUGCCAAUUUUUUGGUUACCUUAAAUAUCUCUUCUCACUUCCAGCUGUGUUCUCCCAUGCUGUGUUUACAAAGAACAAAAUCAAACUUUAUCUUAGUUUUUGUUGACCCUGUCCUGCUUUGUUUUGGCCUCUUUUAGGCUGAGCAAUCUGAGCUAUCUUUGUUUUCUCUCAUAGAAGGAAUCUUCAGUUCCCUGGAUCGUGAAUCACAUUUUGUUAAGCAUAGGUGACCAGAGCUGUACAGGAAUUAAGUUCCAGAUGAGGUUUUACUUGAGCCUUGGAUAAUGGCAACUCAGUUUCUUUAACUUCACAGGCAGAACUUGCAUCUGAAGAUCCUGCUUGCCUUUUUCUUCUUAAGUUUCUAAAUAUUGUUAUUAAUUCCUGACUAUUUGCAUGGCCUGGUUAUUGUGCUAUUGAGAUGUUAUCACCACAUUCACCAAAAUAUCCAAGAGUAUGCUAUUGCAGCGCUCCAUAGACAAUGCUUAUUGUCAUUAAGUGUCAGUUCUAUUAG